UCCAUUUUGCACACUACCACAGUGAAUGCAUCCCUAGUUUCUGAGGGUGGCGUGGCAGUCAUAAGAUGUGGCCAAGUAAAAGAUGGGCCCAAAUGGGAUAGUGAAUGGGAUGGGUUUUGAGUGGGUUCCCAAAAGGCAUUUAGAGAGAGAAGGGAGGCAAGGAAUGAUAGUGAGAAUGGAGGGUCGAUAGUCUCCCAAAAAAUCGGAAAGUUGAUAUCAUCUCUGUAAAUGUUCCUGACAUUGAUGAGGCAGCGACACAUCCAAAUCAGUGAAUGGGCCGCGUACAUUUGGAGAUGAGACUUACGUUGGAGGCUUACAAAGCUAAGCUUCCUCAGAACUCAAUGCACCAUUGCUGCGGCUGCUAUACUUAGUAUCUGCAUUCCCGAUCGCGAACGCCAUAUCUCGCUCUCUCUCUCUCUCUUUCUCUCUAUAAUACUUUCACGCAUAACCACUUCUGGAUCUUCCUCAUUACCAGCCAAGCUCCGAUUUCUCACCGGAAUCUAACUUCAAUUUUUUGUACUUUUUGUUCCCUAACGUAUAUGUCAUUUUCUCUGCCUUUUUUUCCUCAUAACUUUGAAAAUGGCCAAUCACUUCUAAGUUCUCUUUAUAGUAUUCAGUCUUCAAGAAAUUGCCAAUUCAGCAGGCAAUGCUUGCAUGUACUCUCAUCCAGGAAACAGAUGAAAAUUCUAUCAAACACGAGAUUGUUACGGAAUGCACCUUCCUUAGUUCAAAUCCUUACACCUCAUGAUUGCUUAUUAAGUACAUGGAAGGGUAGUGACUACUCAUACAACAAUUAAAAUGGGAAGAAAUGAAUAAAAAAAAAAAAGUCCUCAAUCUAUUGCACAUAUGUCAAUUGAGUCCUAAAUCUUUUAAUUGUGACGAUUUAGUUUUAAACAUUUUGACGAUUUGCUGAUGUAGUCCAUCUAGUCAAUUUUUACCAGAAAUUGCUGACAUAGAUAUCGAUCGUCCUACAUAACACUGUUGAUGCUGAAGUGAAUAAUUUUUAAAUUUUUUAUUUUUUUCUUACUUUAUUUUUUCCCCAACUGUGGGCUAGUAAUGUUGCUAGUUGACCCUCACCAACCAUAGGCAAGUCUGGAUGAGCAGGCAUUCCUUCCUUUCUUAACAAUGGGCCAACAAGGUUGCUGUCUGACCAUCGCUUGCCACAGGUGAGGUUUGGGCAAGAGCCUCCAUGCCCUCGGCUAGACCAAGUGUGGCUAACAACCUUACCGGCCCAAAGUUGAAAAAAAUAAAAAGAAAAAAAUGGAAAAAAAUAAUAAAAAUACAAAAACAUAAAAAAAAAAAUAUUUAAAAUUUGUCCGCGUCAAUGUUAGUCGUGUCACAUAGCACAGUUAACAUCUAUUAUCAACAAUCUUCUAUCAAAAUUGGUUCGGAUAGAUUAUAUAGGCAAAUUGUCAAAAAACUUGAGAGUCAAUAAGUAUAAUUGAAAGAUUUAAUACUGAAUUCACGUAAACGGAGUAAGCAUAGAAUAAUUUUUUAUACUUUUCCAGAGAUGGGCCAUCCAAAGAACCAUUGGAUUGGUAUAACCCGACUGUAUGUGAAGAAUCAAAUGGAAGGAAAAGAGACAAGGGAACGAAUGGAACAGCACAUUAAAGAAAACACACUUCCUUUAUGCCAUUCCGGCUUUUAAUUGUCCCUCUAGAUUUCCAAGCUCUUUUCUUUAGGAAAAAAAAAUAGAUUAAUAAAUAAAGAAAUGAAUCGGGUCCUGGUUUCUUGUGCUGAAUGUGUUUGUUUAUACUUUCUUUUUUUCUGCUCCGUGUCCCCCCUGAUAUACAGAUUCUACGUUGUUUUUUAGAUAAGAAAGCGGCCAAUUCCGACUCUCUUUAUCACCUGUAAUUGCUUCUUGUGCUGGUUUCCUUUUUCAUGCCGUUAUGUUAAGUGCACAUCACAUGCGUAGGAACAUUCUGUAGAAUAUAUUCCUCAAGCUUUGUAUGGCAGAUGGUGGCUUGAGACUGAGGUGAAAGGUAACUCGAGUCAUGGUCUGAACAAGCCUGACUCAGCUUGAACAUGAUACGGAUGUGCUGAUUCUCGUACUAUAUUUCGUCGACCUAGUAAAAGGGCAUGCAAUCCUCCUAAUACUUUCCUCUUUUGCAUACACACAAGUUCAAAAUCAUUUCAAGAGAAUGCUUGCGAAGGUGUGCAAUUCGCCAAGGUAUAUUAAGUGUUGGUGUUUUUAUAAUAGAAUGGAUGUUCAAAAAGUGAAAUAAAGUUGUGUUGAAUGUCAUGUAGAUCUCAAGCAAAAGACAUGAGACUGAUUUAAAGAGAAUUUUAAAAAGAGUGAGAAAAGCCAUUGAUAUAAUAUAGUUGACUUCAAUAUAUAUAAAUUAGUUCACAGGCACCGUGCGUAACACACUGUUAAAGGCUAGUUAAAUAGAAUGAGAAAUCAAGAAGAUGGUUCUACAGUUAAAGAAGGUGAUAAUUUCUUUAGUCAGGACAUGAGGAUUGAGAACACUGAAGAUGGAUAUUCAGAGAGAUUCUUCAGUGUCUUCAGGUCCUCACCCCUUUUCCUGAGAGAUUCCACAAUUUAGUUUCUAGUCAGAAUGACAAUUGACUAGCAGAUAGCAUGCAUAAACAAUGCAGAAACUUAGAUCUGCAUCAACCCUUGUAAAUAUGACUAGCCGAAUCUACAUUUGUGUCAUGAAGCUUUUGUCUACAUUUGCAGUAAACCACAUCAUCACAAACCAAAAAUCCAUAUAUAAUGGAGAAUCAUGGUUUCCUUGAGAAAAUUUUCUAAAACCAUAUCUGGAUUUCAAAAGUAAGCCCUUCAAUUCACAGUGCAGCUACUUGACUGUCAGAAUUAGCGACUGAAUAACAAUACUAGAACUAUACAUCAGUGAUGACUUUAAAUUCUCUAGAUAGUUCUAUUCAAAAUGCAAGAGGAAUUUGCUCGACUAAUAAGAGAGAACAUUUGUUAAUGUUUGAUCUGUGCAGCUGAAGUUGCCAGCCUAGUCUGACAUUUUUUCGGCCAUAAGCCUAGUCUGACUUAAUAGAGGAAAUAAAUCCUAAUGGAAACUCACCUAUAAGUGCAUAAUUUCUUGAUGAAAAAUCCCCUGGGAAAUCCCAUAAAUUUUUCUUGGUUCUUCAGUUCUGUGAAAAAUUAUGUAAAAAUUAGAUAUGAUCCAAGGAAUCCAGUUAACUCGCCAUCUUCACAAAAAGUGAGGCUAUCUUGUAAAGAGAGAUUACUCACCCUGACUCUCUAUCCUUUGAUCAGCUCAAGAAGCACAUUGUUCAGUGGUCGUGAAUUUCUCUGGCUUUAUCACCCCAAAUCAGCUUAGUCUGGCUCUCAGCAUCAUUUGUCACAUAGGAAAGUUUCUGCACUAAAAUGAGCUAUUUAUUUGAAAUUUUGGUAGAAAGCACUGGAAAGAUAGAAUAAGGAAUUCAGACAAACCCGUCUUGCUCUUUUAUCCACAGGAGUCCAUGAAGGGACCAGAGAUGCUGCCACUUUUCCAUUCUUGAACGAACCAAAUGAUUGUGUGGAUCUCUUCUGCCUCUUCUCUUCAGGUGUUUUUCUGACAGUGCUACCUCCUUGAUACUUAAAAAAUUCGAGAAUCGAUGGACUUCUUCUCUUUGUUGUAUUUGAUUUGGUCCGUGUAUUGCCAUAACAAGGAGAUGCACUGGAUGGAAGGGAUUGUCGCCAAAACUUGCUCUUUUCCCGGAUUCUGUUCAGAAACUCAAUUGUCCAGGGUGAACCUUUUUGCAAGUGGGGCAUGUGAAUGGCAUUUCUAAGUGGUGUUCCAUUAUACCUUGCCCUGUUCUCCUGUACUGGUAUACCAUGUAAGUUCUCCAUGGAUCUCCCAUCCAAAAACCCCUUAAAGAGUUUGUCUUGAUUGUCGGUAGGCAUUUUGUCAUUUACUAGCUCCGUAGAUAAAAAGCAAUCAGUUUCUUCCUGUAAACUUUGCCUUUGAUGAUUCCCAGGGCUAUGAAUGAAUGAAGUAGAAUCGCUCUCAGCAACCUGUUGGGAAAGUCGGAUAAUUGUGUCGAUCAAAGGAAAAUCUACUUGCAUGAUUGGAUCCACCUCUGGCAUUGUUUUCCAGAUCUGGCAAUGAAAAUGAAAACUCCAAAGGAUUAGCAAUUGAUGGAUGGGUAAGGUUGAUAGCUUCACCUUUAGUGUCCCUCAUUAACAAUAUCAGAGUUCUUGAUAUCCGUCCAAUCAAAGGUGUCCAUUGUAGCUAGGUGUGCUCCUGUGUACCAAUAAAGGAAAUCAUCAUCAGGAGCUAGGCUUUGGUACUCAGUCACAUUAGAGGAGAAAACACCUUUCUUGAUCCCAGAAUCAAAUCGAUUGCCGACUCUAGAAGGAUAUGUGGUAGUUGACUCAUCCAUCCCUCUUUUUUGACCUAGGAAAUGAUCAACACAUGAAUUGGGCUCUUUAAACUUGUUGUGUAUCUCCUGAUCUUUGAGUAUUGUCGAAUCAUAUAUAUUUGUAAACCCAGGAAGUUUUGAGGAGCUGCUGUUACAUAGUUUUGAAGGCUGAAAAUGCAGCAGGUCGUCCACAGGUACAUUACCUUUGUCAGGGUGCUUCUCAUACUUACAUCUUUUCCCUCCAGAAUCCAGCUUACUAUGGCAGUGUUUAGAGUCAGGGCCUGAUGACACUGAAGAAGAGCAGUCUGUCAUUAUAGACCGAGAAUCCUCACGUUCCCCAAAUUGGCAUAAAGCACUAAAAAGAGAAACACUUUCAUCAUGAACUUGAUAUUUUUGGACCGUGGUGACUCUGCAUUCAUGAGAUACUUCAAAAAAGUCACUGAGCAUCCCUUCAGAAGACAGUAUUGCGUGAGCUGAUAGUGGAUUGACAGAAGGAAAUUUGGUCAGGAAAGAUUUCUGCCAGUGUCUCUGAUUCAGGAAGUUUAGUAUAAAGACCCUAAUAAUCCUAGUUUCCUUUAGCAAUAGAUUUCAAUAUGAUCUCAUCAGUCGACUCAGGUGAAAAGGAGCAAAGGAGUUGUAAAUCAAUUCCCAGACUAGCUGCCGCAGCAUAAAGUCCAUCUGAAGAUUCCAUUACCGAAGCAAGAAAGCCAGAUUCCCCCUCAAAUAUCUGCUAGAAAUAAGAUAAUGAGAAAAUCAUAAAAUCACAGACCUGCACUAACUUCUUGUAAGGAAUGACAUAAGUUGCAUGUUUUUGCCAACUUGGCUAAGCGAACAUUACAAAAGAAGAAAAGUAAUAGUAUGAAAAGGGAGGAGCCCAAUGCAAAAGCCCAUUAAGAGUAACCAAUAUACAGUUGUUUUAUGCUUUCUAUUGGCUUCAUAAAAAUAUGCACAGGGCACAGUAUAUUAUAGCAAAUCAUCAUCACACUGUGCUUGCAUAUAGAAACAAUUUAAGUUCAUCUUCAGCAUGACACAGAAAAUCUCAAGUAAAAGCAUGAGAUGGAGCUGAAACAGCAGUUGUCACUGAAAUUUAAAUGUAAUCACUGCACAUGUUUCUUUACAACCGCUAGACUUUUCCUACUUUAAUUAUCCAGAAAAAUACAGAAAUUAAAAAUUUUUGUCCCUAGAGGAAAUAAUUUUCCUUUUCAACCGGUUGAGAAAGGUCUUUUCCUUUUCAACCGGUUGAGAAAGGUCUAACAACAAGGAAUAAUGAAUGAUAUUUACCAGAAUGCAUGCCCUAAAAGCGAAGCUCAAGUUUGUAAGAAUAUUUGCUGCUAUAUUCUCAAUAUGACAAGCUAACACUGAAGNNNNNNNNNNNNNNNNNNNNNNNNNNNNNNNNNNNNNNNNNNNNNNNNNNNNNNNNNNNNNNNNNNNNNNNNNNNNNNNNNNNNNNNNNNNNNNNNNNNNUCCUUCACUGAAACCAGAGGCUUUUCUGCCAUGUUCUUGUGAGUAUACCACACCAGGCAAACUGCAGCACUGAUUAUAAUAUCAACUGGCAGGGUUGUAUCACGCUCAAUUACUUGAAUUCCUUCUUUCUCCAUAGCCAGAAUCUUUUGAUAUGUACUUCUUCUGGACACCAACAUUACUUCACUUGAAUUUUGUGUGUUCACAAUAACGACCGCAUCAGGAAAAGAAACAAGCCCUAGCUCAAUAUGGCCCGAUCCUACAACAUGUGGCUCGUAAGAUGGAUUUCCUGCCCCCGGGCUACUAAUUGAAACCUUGCAAGUAAUAUCACCAGGAACCUUGACCAUAUGGAUAUUGUUCAUUUCACCAGGAAUCUUGCCUGCAGGUACACUAUUUUCUUCAGCUCUAUCUUUCGAAGGAUUCAAGAAGAAGUCCAGGUCAUGAAAUGGUGACAUGGAUUUAAAUAGUGACGAAGCCCUCUCAUAAUCAUACUCAGAAACCUGUGUUUGACUUGCUGGCUUUUGGUAUUCAGUAUCAGUAGACGUCCGGGAAGCAGCCUCAGUCAGAUCCUCCCUCAGCAAAGAGACCGUGUCAGAAAGCAUGUCCAAUGGCCCACUUCCUUCUUCAAAUUUAGGCCUGCUAGGAUUGUGAUCAAGAAGGAUGAAGUCAUGAAUGACUUUCCCAUAAUUGGCAAUACUUAAUUCGAAGUCAAAACUCCUGUUCAGCUCCCCUACCACAUUGUGAUAAAAGGAAUUGAUCGCAGAGCUGCAGUUGUCUUCCUCCAAUAGAUGCCAAUUUAAAUAGAUCCCAUCGGAUGCCAAUGGAGGCUGUGGCUUCAAAUCAAUCAGGGCUUCUGCAACAAUUACAGACAAUGUUCCUAGUACAGAGUCGGGGAGAAUUGGCACGGGCAGUGAUUUGAACAUCUCAUCUACAAGAGCCAGUUCCCGACUAAUUACCAAUUCCUCAUAAUUCUUGAACUUCACCUUUUCCUGCAGCAUUUCAUUGCAGAACUCAGGUUCAUGGACUUCUUGUAAGCUGAAGACCUCGCUUAAUAGAGCUGUCCCAAUGUCAAGUAUCUGAAAGUCCUCGAAGACAACUGGGCUAAUUGACAAAAAAUAAUCUGUGUCUGAUGGUCCCUGACAAUGUGAGUUGCCUCGUAGACAAGGUCUGUCCAAAAUGCUCACAAAAUCCAUUUCCAGAAAAGUGGUUCCUAUUACAGAGUCAGAUUCAAGGUAAUCCUUAAACAGACAAUGGUGUGAAGGAAAUUCAUAAAGGUCCUUCUCAAGCAAGUUCAAAAUUUCUUUGGUGUCAAAUGGAGAAUCAUCAUUUUGACUUAGAUAUAGUGGUUUGACUUUGUGAAGAAGCUUUACCAGCUCAUAUUGCACAGAUGUGCUUGUCAUAACUUCCAAACUAAUCUCCUCCCCUUCUAAAAGAGGAAAUUGGAUACAUGGGAAGUCCGACUGGCCCACAGCAUAAGCAUCAUCUUCCCAAAAGACAGCCUUCGGCUCUAUGAGAUACUGUAUACUUGUGUCUCCAAAUUUAGCGACCACUUCUUGAGCCUCCAAAAUAUAGUUCACUGAGAAGCUCAGCUUGGGUGCAUCCUGUCAGUAAAAUAUAGCGAUAAGUAUCUAUUUUGAGUGAAAGCUUGUCAUCAAGAUCCAUCUGCUAGCAAACCACCAAAUGCCUCACAGUCUUGGACCAGAAUCUUGUUAAAUUCUGACAACCAUUUGGCGAAACAAUUGAAAGCAACCAGCUGUUGUGGUGUUGUGGCUGCCGAUGGUUAUCCUAGCAAAUAUCUAAAUACAGACUUGGAUGAUAGUAGUGACUUUGCCUUCUUAAGGACAAGCAAAUGCUCAAUCAUCAAUUAAGCGAUGGACUAUGAUCAUUUGGGAGGGUCUAACAUUCAUAAACUGGCUCAAUAUUUUUCAUGUAGAAAGAGAAACAUAUCGCAAUAUGUAACCACAGGGUCACUCAUCAAAGAUUGAUAAAAAUGGAUGUCCUUGAUGAAUCAGAGUUGCCACUUUUCUCUAGUUUUCUUAAAUUAUCUACUGGUCAAAACUAAUGCUUGCUGUUUGAAGAAUAAAGUUCAGCUUAAAUGCAACAAGUUCCAGGGGAAAAAUAAAAUGGAAGGAUCUUACGAACUAAGUUAAGCCCAGAAUUUACCUCAUUGUUUUCAAUUUCAAGAACUUCAGAGAAGAUGCCUACUGCUUCUUCCUCAAGCAAGUAAGAAUUCUCCUGAGGAUUACAAUGAACAAAAAUAGGACUGUGGCAUCACACUUCUGGUAUAUUCACUGUAACUUGCUAACGAUAUUCAGCAUACCAAGCAACUACCCAGCUCCGGUGUCUCAAGCUGGAAUGCUGCCAUGCCUUGUGCGCCCUUUUCAUUGACGAAGUUUUCACUGCUAAUCUGAUGGUUGCAGUAACAUAACAUCAGGAAGACAAAGACAAACUUUUCUGGAGUUCUGAAAAGAUAAGAGUAAAAUUUUUUUUCUCUGGCAUCAGUUCAUACUUUGGAAAGUUCAGCUUCCCUAGCUGCAGGCUUACUAGUUGAACAGCAGCCCAACCUUUCCUUCGCUCCGGAGCUUAGCUCUCCUUCUUUCUGCAAGUAAGCAGGAACAAUCCGCUUGACGGAACUCAACCAGGCAAUACCGACUGCCAAUAACUCUGCUAAUUCGCCAGCCAGAAGUGGAUAUAAUGAAAGGCGCCGGAGCCAAUAAGCUUUUCCUCGCGUAUCAUAAUUUCCAAAUUCUUCAUUUUUCCAACCAAAAAGGAAAGGAACGUUGAACAAGGGAAUACCAAAACCAACUGAAGUCAAACUACUAUGCCUCGUGGACGAUGAACUGUCUUCAUAUUCACACAAGUUCAGAGCUAAUCCUGACGCAAAAUCUAAACAGGCAACGCCUUAGAGGGCGAGGAUCGCACCAAAUUCAAACUGAAAUCUACAGAUUAAAACGAGAGCUCGCUAUCCAGGCUUUUUCCCAAUCAAUCACACGUCAAACUCAAACUCCUAAUAGAUCGCUCAACAUCUCCAGUUUCACCCUCACGCAGCUAACCAACACCGGCGAAGCAUCACGAGCGAUCACCGACUACUUUAAGCACCAAACACUGCCGAAAAGCCACAUACCUCAACGCUUCCAUUUCUGCAACCUUCUCCGCCUCCGGCGUCGUCGAUGAACUGAGGAACGAUGUCGGGCAGGAACCUCGAGAGGGCGGGCUCGAUCUCCAGCCUGUCGAGCUCGAGGGAGACGCUGAUCGAGGAGAGGGAGCCGGAGCAGAGGAGGUCCUGCUCCGAGGCGAGAGGGAGAGCCGAGGGGAGGCGAGGGACCGGGAGGUCUAGGAAGGUUAGGGUUUGGGCCGGAGACGACGACGGAGGAGACGGAGGAGGCGGCGGAGGCGGAGGAGGAGGUUCGGCGCUGAAGUAGUCGAUGUUGAGGAAGCGAGUUCGCAUCUUGUUUCUCAGGUUUGGGAGAGACGGAGGAGGAGAAGAGGGAGGGAGGUUUUAACGGACGGCUUGGAAGGAAGUUUUUGAAUUUGGCGCUUCUGAGGUGGCGGGGCUUUAUACACUGGAAGGCGAGCCGCGAGUUCGCCGAGUUGCAGCCCCUGACUCAGCUGAGUGGCUCACCGGGUUACCGGGCGAUCGAUUCCUCUGUACUUCUUACUUUUAUGUAUAAUGAAUAAUUGCAUAAAUAAUCUCUAAACUUCAAUCUGAUAUUUAAUAUGGUCUCUAACUUUUUAUUUUAUUCCACGUGACCAUUAAAUUUUAACUUAAUAUAUAAUAUAAUUGUGGGACUUUUAGUCUAUUCAAACCGUCCUUAAACUUAGUCUGCAAAUAUUCAAUUUAGUUUAUGAAUUUAUUAUAUUCGUGGAUUCAAUACAUGGAACAAAUUUAAAACGGAUAAACCAUAAUACAAAUUGAACCAAAAUUUAAGAAUCAUCUAUGUAAUUUGUUUUGCGUAUAAUUUUCCUUUCGAGAAAAGUAAUAAACAUUAUUUGAAUAUUUGAACACUAUACGACUUUAUAAGUUGGUUUUUAAAUAUUUUAAAAGGUUUCGAGCACUUCAAAUCAACAAAAAGAUAAACAAUGCGUUUGGCAAAAUUAAAAUAAAAAAUGAAAAGUUAAAAAGUACUAGUCAUUUUUGAUCAAUUUCAUCACUUUGCGACUCCUACUUCUAGAAACUUUAAGUUCAUCUAGAGUCUCAGUAUGAACAUUCAAAUUUGAUUAUGUGACCAAAUUACUACUUUUUUUUCUGAAAAUGUUAUUACUACUUCCUUUUUCUCAUUUGGCAUAUUGACUUUUGAGUUUCGUUUAUUGAAGGGGGAUUUGCUGGAUUAGGCAAAUCCAACAUGCAAAGUCAAAAGUUUUAAGAUUUGGAUAUACACAGUAAUAAAUCGAUGAAAUUCGACAAAGAUAUUCGGAAUUUCUCAUAGGAAAAGAUGUUGAACUCAAUUCAAGAUCGAACAAUAGUAGAAGUAAGUUAUUCAAUACCUUAAUUUAAUACAUGCCAUUCAUCUAAAUUUCAAUAAGCUGUGACGUGGAAUUCUUAUCUUGCAUGAGCAUACUAUUAACAAAAACAGAACAAAACAAAAGAGGGAAAGGAAAAUUCUAGGGAUAUGCAAUUGACCAACGACGAUCACUCAUUUUUUUCUUCAUUUAUUCUCCACAACUUUUGCUUCUUCUUUUUUCUCCACUUGGGGCUCCUCCUUCUUUUCCUCUUUCUUGUCCUCUUUCUUCUCUUCCUUCUUUUCCUCUUUCUUCUCCUCCACCGCUGGUCCUACCGAUAUGAUGUCCACCUUCCCCACUUUUUUCAGCUUCUUCACCACCGCCACCGUGUCCAUCAACCCUAUCACCGUCAGCUUCUGAUCCGUCAAAUCCGCCGCUAUCGAGUCCACCCCUUUCCUCGCAGCGCAUAAUGGAAAGCACCCGUCACCCACGUAAAUUCAUUAAAUGACCAGAUGACAAAGUAAACCAGCCCCAGGAUUUGCAGCAACAGCAACUGAUUCUCGCGUAAUUAUAAAUCCUCGCAUGAGAGAAUAGCUUGAAAAUGAAUAGAUUAAGGGUUAUGAAUUAUGAUACCGAAAAUAUCAGCAGCAGCUUCGAUGGCCUUCUGCUUCGUUUUGUCGUCUGCCAUCGUCAACACCUUCAGUAUCACCUUCUGCAGCAAUGAAUACAGAACAGGAAGGAAAAGAUGGAGUUUAGAACAGUUGAAUUUCGACGUUUUAAGAUGCAGUUUUGUGAAGAAAACGAGAUCAUGCAGCUGAGCUUAAGAGAAAGUUAACGUGGAUGGAGAGAAAUAUAUGAAGCUGGAAUGGACCUGAGCCAUGAGGAUUUGAAGCUUGGAGAGAGGGAACUCCGAAGGUGGGGAGGUGAGAGGUGGAGGUGGGAAGAGAUUAUAUGGGGCGUAUUAUUAUUCGAGCUUUAUGUAGCGACGUGCGCAACGUCCAACUCGAGGUCGGUCGAUCUUUCUGAAAAACGUUCGUGUCAAGCAAGGAAUAUAAGGCAAAAAGUGCGCAGGUCACAUCGAUCCUUUUUCCUUGGACAUGAAAUUCUCAGGAAUCACCAACACAUGAAAUCGACGGACUUACUAGCAAAAACUGAAUGGAGACAUCAUCCCCAGUUCGGGCGAUUUUCCAAUUCAAAAGAGGUAGCAAUAACCCAAAUCCAAAAUUAUUGGGCAAGCGCAUGCAUUUAUGUAUAUCGAAUAUUGUCUCAAAUUAUUACUUGAGCGAGUGUGUCCUAAUGUUCCGCACGAUUUCCUAGGAGGUGUUCCCUUGUCACAAAUAGUGACAUUAACAGUAUGGCCCAUGGUGGGUUUUGAUAAGAUUCCGAAAAAAUCGAAAUAGAAGUUCAUGACUUGAGAUGAGCUACCGCUUCCAAUAGCUUAUGUAUCUUAUUAGUUAAGUCGAAAUAUGGUGAGGAUGGACAAAUUAAUCUUCAUGGAUGUAUGCACCCUGUCCGCCUUAUGGUUCAAAUCCUUCUUGUGGUCUUUGGUUGGGUAAGGGGAAAGCCAUAAUUGACAAUCGAGAUAUAUUGCUACUCGUGAUUUUUCUUCUUCAUAGAUUUUCGUUCUCCUUGAUAUUACAGUUUUGUAUUAAUCAAGUGUUGCAGGCUCGAGAUCGAAUAAGUUGGCGUGGUUUUCUCCUUCCUCGUUUCUAAAUCUAAUACACCUUGCCUAUAUAUCCAAAUCUGCAAAAUUGGUGUCCAUGAGUUCUUUAAGAACCGGCCACCCUGAUGCUUGUUUAUCCCUUUUUCUGUGGUUCGUUUGAACCAGGUCACUUGCAUAAGCCAUCACACAUGAUUAAUUAUCCUCCAGAAAUUUCCCAUGCCCUUGAUUUGAACCGAGUUUUUAUGUCAUGAACAACACGUGUCUAAAGCGGAAUUCACCAGAAUAUAGGAGGAGGGGUCAAUGUGGAAAGCUUCUUGCACCUCUUUCCUUUUCAAGUAGCUGAUAGCGUCUCCAUCCGAGAAGAAUCCAAACCCAUCUCUGUACAUCAAAUACUACUACUUGCAGAGAAAAGCAGAGGUUAAUAAGUAUCAAAGUGUUCUCGGGCUUUCUUAUGCGUUCAUUUUCUGGCCUCUAGGAAUUCAUUUUGGAGCUAUCUCACCUGAAUGGAUCUCCCAUAUGGUUUCAUUUAUACAUUGAAGUUAUGGACAUCUCCAACUUCAUUGCUAUAUGUUUCUUCCCAGGCUUUAUUGCAGCCGUCAGAAUGACUAUCCACGGUGCAAAAGUUCCUCAAGUUUUUGUAUGUAGAAUUUGCUUGUUUCAUGAAAAAAUAAAUGAUUUGAAAAAUAUUUUUUUUCUAAAAAUAAUCAUUUAAAACUCUUACUGAAGUGAAUAAAUGAAAAGUAUUUCCAUAGUCCAUUGAAAUAUUUAAAUAUAAAUCAUUGUCGAUGAUAAAAAUAUUUUUCAUUGACUAAUUAUUAUAAUCAAUCAAUUUUAAAAUAAUAUUUUUAAAUUAUUUAUUUUCCAUGAAACAAACCUAGUCGUAGUGUAUGUUUGAUAUCAACUGUAAUUCCACAGGUAAUCAACCAGUCUGGAUUAUCCAGUUGCUUUGUCAAGAGAGGUAUUUCCAAGCUAAAAAAAAUUUCCCGAGAAAAGAGCAAUAGUUUGGUCCAGUUCAAUAGCGGAUGUGCUUUGACAUGUAGAUUCGACGUAAUCAUCUCGCCAAUAUUCUCUUUGGAUAGAUGAUUGAUCACACGAUCCCUUUGCCUUGAUAUAUGAUCAGUCCAGCGAGUUGAGGGUCCUAAUGUCCUGAAGUAAACGUUUACUAUGCGCGAGUGACUUAAAAUUACAUUACACAAUUAAAUGGCCACUGAACACGAACACCUACAUAGCUCUCUCCGGCAAUCAGGAAGUCUCCGUAUUUGUACUUCGGAAACAUCUCGAGCCACUUAUUGAAAAAUGUUUGACUGUCCACGGCAAAGAUCGAAAGAAAAGGAAGUAACUUGGACUUUUGAAAAGUAUAGAGCGGGAGACAGAAAAACUAAGCGAAAGUAAAGUACGUAGAGCAAGUCAUAAGUGCCGACCGGUGCUAUUACCCGCGAUUGACUCGGCAACACUGAGGAUAGAAAAUCCAGCUCCAGCAGGGGAAUCAAGGAAGAGCAAAUUGGCCUCUAGGAAAAAGAAACAACAAGAUGUUAUUAUUCAAUCAAUGUCUUACAUAUGGACUACUUAGUGAUGUCUAGGGCCAUAGAGAUUGGUUGGAAGGCCUAAAAGAUGCAUUGUCCAUGAGUUCGAAAGAGGUAGACUUAUCAAAUGAAUGAAUUGGAUAAGAUUUGUGCCAGACCAGGUCGAAAAUGGUUUGCUUAAAUUGACCUAAGCCAAAUUAUAUCACAAGCUCCCAAACAAAGCAUGUGCCUAAGAGGGAAGAUACAUUGGGACUUCGUGUCCCAAGUCUAUCGCAACGAGGAAUGGAAACCCUUCGUAUAUCUCAAUCCAACCUAUGAACAAAUCAGUAGCCGGAGAGUCUAGUUUUAGUCUACUAUGAAUUACUACAUGAAAGUUUUUUCUCUAACUCAAUUUGAAUUGCGCUUACCAGAUCAUUAUGGUUCCAAGAGUCCUAUUUAUCAUGCACAUAAAAACUAAUAUUAGGUCCGACUUCCGAAAAGAAAAGACAUCUUGAUGAUGAAUCAGAAUAUAAUAGUCAUUAUCUUCAAUGAAUGUUUAUGUGGUAAUCCUACUAAUUCAUUAAAAUCAUGAGUACAUCUCAAAUUAAUCCAACAUUGCAGGCUUGAGAUUAAAUGUUUUGGCUUGGUUUUCUUCUUUCUUGCUUCCAAAUCUACUGGGUCUCUAUAAGUUCUUCAAGAAUCGGCAACAUCGAUGAUUUUUUGUCGAUUUUUCCGUAGUUCUUUCGAACCAGAAGCCAGGAAACCAUAUGAUGUAUUAUUCUCCAGAAAUUUUUCAUGCCCUUGAUUUGAGCUAAGCUUUUGUAUCAUGAACAAUACCUAGCUGGAGUGUAGUUCACUGGAAUAUAAAAUAGGGUCGAUGUGGAAACAUUCCUGCACCGCUCAUGAUAAAAAGAACAACCCACUUGUCCCUAGAAAAAGCGAAUACCCUCCCGCACUAUACAAGCACAAGGGUAAGGUAGAUUUUAGGAGAGAUUGCAACUUGUAACUUCACACAUGUAAGACGGUGUAGUCCAACGUGUUAAGUCAAUGUUGACAAAUUAGUAAUAUAUGGGAUGAGAAUCAAUUGAAUUUCAUAAAUGGAGAACCCCCACCAAUCUCAUAUAUUGUACGAUAUCUUAGGAGUUUCAUAAUCUUUUCUAGCUAAAUUCACAUUUCGACAUACUAUUUUCAAUAGGCCCUAUUUAAGUGUAUUGGAUAAAGCUUCACUAAGAGGUAGAUGAGUGUAGGAAGUUUUAAAUGUACAAUAAUAUACCUAUACUAUUAUCGAUAAUGACUAAAAUUUGUUAUUUAGUUGACAUUUUUCUUGAUUGGUGUCACCUAAUGGCUGAUAAUUGAUGAUAUACGGUAAGGGUAGAAGUGUUCGGUAGGCAUAGAGCCCAAGACAUUUUUCUUCUCACAUAAUUAAGUGUUCUCCGUUAAAAAACUAUCUAGUAGCAUCGCGAUGACUUGACUCCCAAGUCGUACAUCUCUAAAAGAAUUCAGAGUCAACAUCAUCUCUUUAAACUUUUGCGCUCAUAUUCAUAAAUGGUCUCACAAAAUUGUAUUCAAUUACCAUACUUCAAUAGAUGGCGACAUGCAUCUGCCCCCAAAAUAAUUGAUGAGGCAAUUAGUUUCCAAAAUCACACUUUGAAUUUAUCGGCUAGAUGAUAACACAAGAGGCUGUGAUUUUAUUACAUCCCAUCAAGUGAAGUGUUAUUUUAAAUGGAGAGGUGCGAAGCAUGGAUGGGCAUGGGGGGUGACUUUCCUUUUCAGAAUAUUCCAUAGCAAAGUCCUAGAGAAAAGCAACCUCUCUGAAUAAUCUUCCGUGAUAUACAAGCACAAGGGUAAGGUCGAUCAUAUGAGAGAUUGUGACAUGCAGCUUCGCACAUUUAAGACAGAGUGUAGUCAAAUGUUUUGAGUGAAUGGUGACAAAUUAUCAAUAUUUGGGAAGGAUAUCGAUUGGAUUUCAACGAUGGAGUACAGCGCAUGGGAGAUUUUAAGUUAAUAGUCAAAUGUUUUAUUAUUAACCAGUUUUUUGGUGCGUACAGCGCAUGAGAGAUUGUUUAUUGAUUAGAUAAAUGCGGGCGAAUUUUACAGCUGAUGAUUUUACUAAGUGCAAUGAGGUGUAAUUGUUUCUGGCAAAAGCUGCAAUUUGUUAAUCCCAUCAUUUUCUGGACAAUCAUCCAUUUGAUCAUUUAUAGCGAGCCUAUAUGCCAAUUUUUGGCAUAAAACCUCGAUUUUUAAAAAAACUAACUUUGAUAAAAGAUUUACAGAGACAUGUAUCAACUAUAGUAUCUUAGAUUAAAACUUGAAGCCUCGCACAAGCAGGGUCGGUUAAAUCGUCCACAGGUACAUAAACUGCUUAAAUAGAAGUUAUGGAUCCCUCUUUGGUAGAAGUAAUUCUUUCUUGUAAAAUAUCCAUUUCGGAGCUUUGAUGGAAGCCUCACACUCAAUUCUUAAACAUUCGCCAUCACGAUUUCGUCAACAACAUAACAAAGAAAUCAAAAGAUCAAGUCUUGUUAGAAGCUCGCAGUGGCUGGAAGACACUGCUGCAAAAUCAGAAGUGCCUCAGGUCUUAAGGACGUAGGGAGAAAUGCAUCCCUAAGCAACCGUUCACCGGCCGCUUCCCCGCGCGUCCUCGCGAUCCAAAAUAUUAGGGGCCCGUUGUCGUUGAGACCCAUUUCAAUCUGUCCAAACCAGCACCAAUUAUCAUGGCAGAUACUGGAUUGACGGCGCACCUAAAACAUUUUAAAUCGUAAAAGAAUUUAUAUGUGGAAUCAUGUGUGAUGUCAAAAGUUGUGAGCAAACGUAGUGAUUCAGGUCCUCAAGACAGCGCCUAUUGUCUUCCAGAUUUUAAACACCCAUACUGAAAGUUAACAUUAUAAAAAAUUUGCCAACGUUUUUUAGUUACAAAUGUCAAUAUCGAAUUAUGAACUAUUUCUUCAAUUAGAUAUGCCAAUCACUUUUUAAGGUUAUUUACCAACGUGUAUUGGUCGUGAGUGAGUGCACAAGCGCAAGAAGGUCUUAGAUCAAAGCAGAGAACACGAUUAAGGUGAGAGAGGAAAGGACAAAAAUCAGAUUAGAUAUUUUUCUUUCUUAAUUAAUAAUUUUUUUUUUGAAAUUUGGGCCGAUGUAUGUGUCUUCUGAAUUCAACAUUUUGUAGCCCAAUAGAUAGAACUGUCCUAAACAUUUCAUAAAAAGAUUAGGCAGGCCCAAGUAAAUCCAACCCAAGAAACAAUUUGAACCGAUGGGGUUCCCCCCCCCCCCCCCCCCCCGGGGUUGGUUUGGUGUUUGGGGUUGUGGUCACCGUGUUGAUAAACUAUUAACCUCUAGUUUAGUAAGUACACCUGUACAUAUUUUAUAAUAGAAAAAGAUAAAAAUUACUAAUUUAUCAAAAUGUUAGUAAGUUAUCAGUUAAUUUCAAAAUUUACCAGUAUGGUUUAGUAAACUACUAAAUAUAAUGAAUUUGACAAUAUUCCAAUAAAUUAGUAAAUAAGAAACAUCUAACAAAUGUUAUAAGUUGGUCAGUGUACAUCCACUCCUCCAUAGAAUUUUCCAACAACAUGAAAAGUAACAAUAUUUUUCAAAUAGUACAAGUACGGUUAGUAAGCUUUCACUUUAUAAUGAAUUUUCCAAUGUCCGAAUUCACAAUGUAUUCACAUUUAGAAGAGUUGUUUGUUCACAUUUCACAAAGUCCUUCAUUGUGAUUAGGAGUACAUGCAAAUUUUUAUCCCAUGUCUCAAAAUUGAAAAAGGAAACAUAAUCUUAGGAAAGAAUAUACUGAACAUCGGCGGGCCCUAUGCCAUUAAUAAUUUCAAGUCCUAAUUUUGUAUUGCCCUCAACAUGCAAUUGACAGCAAAAACGAAAUGAAAUUUGCCAACAUAAUUUCACAUCAUUGACAACCGAAACCGUUAAAGUAUAAUAACACGGAGUACUGCUAGAUUGCUGAGCAACACCAAAUUACAAAAUGACAUGAUUUGCACUUUCCAAGUUGUUCCAUUGACGGCUUGCUGGAACAAGGUUGAAAUUAAAAAAAAAAAAAUCAGUUACUACUAAUAAGGAGAAACAGACCAACUACAGAGACGAUUCUGCUUGAACAAGAAAACAAGAACUUCACGAGAUCAAUAAAGCGUUGGACUAAUUGAUGUGGAUAAUAGGCCCGUUACACUCUUCUCAAUCUCCUCCUCAACUCGGCCACUUUCACUGCAACAAUUACGUACACCAUGUCUGCUUUACGAUCCACAAAGUUGAAGUACACCCGUCUCCAGUUCUUCUUGUACACCAAACUGCCAACAACUCCCCAAAACCCAGUCGCAAACCCGAGCAUUAUUACUAUGUAGAACAUUACCUUUUCAAGCUUACCUUCUUCAUUGGCAACUUCUUCCGGCACUUGAGGGGCUGCUUGAGGGACCUCUGCUUCGGGACAUUUCUUUUGUAGAGGAUCACCACAAAGUAGAGGAUUGUCGGCAUAAAUGGAAGGAUCAUCAAGUGUUUGGAUUUGAUUUCCUUUCGGAAUUGGCCCCGUGAAGUUGUUGUGUGACAAGUUUAGUUUGCUCAGUGAUAUGAAUGCAGAAAAGCUUUGUGGGAUCGUUCCCGAAAGGUGAUUAUUCGAAAGAUCAAGUGACUCGAGCGAUCUCAUGUCUCCAAUCAUAGUCGGGAUGCCUCCAGAAAGAAAGUUGCGAGAUAAGUUCAAGCCUCGCAAUCCAGAGAGCAAGCUAAGCUCUCCUGGAAUAGGCCCAAUCAAUUUGUUGAUCGAGAGAUCUAAAUUCACCAUGAGCUGUAGAUCAAGUGUUGUGUAGUCGAGAUCCAUCCCCUUCACAACCUGUUCCACAUGCUCUUGAGUCCAACCCGUUGGAACGGUGGUCGGUGGUGGUGGUGGUGGUGGUGGUGGUGGUGGUGAUGGUGGUGGUGCAGACCCAUAAGCAGGAGAGAGUGAGUUGCCUUCAUAUAUUCUGUUCAAUGUCAUACCUUUCAUAUAGCCAAGACAAUUUGGAAUAGUUCCUGUCAGAUUGUUGACUGCCAUGUCUAAUAUUUGUAGCGCGGAGAGUAAGCAUAGUUUUGAAGGAAUGCUUCCACUAAACAUGUUUUCUCGUAGUCUAAGAAUCUGUAGUAACUGAAAACUUCGUCCAAUCCAAUGUGGAAUGCUUCCUGAGAUUUUGUUUUCUCCAAGAUCCAAAAUUCGCAAUUUGCUACAAUAGUUCAGAUUCAUAGGAAUUUCUCCAUGGAGACUAUUGUUGUUCAAGCGUAAUGACAUAAGCUCAAUUAGAUUUCCCAAAGAAUUUGGUAUGACUCCGUGCAACUUAUUGGAUGAUAAAUCAAUGAGUGUGAACAGGUUCUCCUUCCAACAUGUAGGAAUUUCGCCAACUAAUUCAUUCCUUCCAAGGUGCAAUUCAUACAGAUAUUCCAUCUCGCAUAUUGAGGUGGGUAUUGGACCACUUAAGAGAUUGUCAUUCAGAUUCAAAGUUCCCAACCAAGGCAUCACUAGGCCAAUAUCUUGUGGAAUUGGUCCUAAAAUUAAGUUGUGAGAGAGAUCUAACUGAUCAAAAGGAAAUUUUAACAGAGAUCCAUUUAUUUGGUUGCAAGAGAGAUCUAACAAAUUUAUUUGGUUGUGAGAAAGAUCUAAAGAUAGAUAAUAAGGAACUUUCGACAGAGAUCCAAAGUUGCAGAGAUCUAACGAAUUUAUUUGGUUGUGAGAGAGAUCUAACGAAUUUAUUUGGUUGUGAGAGAGAUCUAACCACUUUAUUUGGUUGUGAGAGAGAUCUAACCACUUUAUUUGGUUGUGAGAGAGAUCUAAUGAAUUUAUUUGGUUGUGAGAGAGAUCUAACUCAUACAAAGUAGUAGGAAAUUUCGACAGAGAUCCAUUUAUUUGAUUGUGAGAGAGAUCUAACUCAUACAGAGUAGUAGGAAAUUUCGACAGAGAUCCAUUUAUUUGAUUGUGAGAGAGAUUCAAGGAGAUUAAUGGCAUGAGACCUAGCCAAUCUGGGAGAGAUCCUGAAAUAGAGGCAUUGGACAAAUGUAUAACCGUGAGAUUGGCUUGCGUUCUUAUCCAUCGUGGAAAUUCUGUUUCGAACUUGCAAGACUCCAUCCUCAUGUACGAGAGAUUGAAAGGUGGUAUCCAGUUAGAAUCCACCUUGAUAGCUAAAUGGUUUUUGCUGAUAUCUAAGAACCAUAGCUUCGAGAGGUUGGAGAAGUGGAUUUCAGAAACUGUUCCUCCCAAGGAAUUUGCUGAAAGAUCUAAAGAGGAAAGAUAUUGAAGUUGUCCAAGACUCUGUGGAAUAGUACCAUUUAGAAGAUUGUUACUGAGAUCUAAAAAUGAUAAGACUUGCAAUCUUCCAAAUGCAUCAGGAAUAUUCCCUGUUAAUUGAUUACCAGAAAGAUAAAGUACUCUCAAGCAUAACCAAUCAUAUGGUGAUGGUAUGGUUCCAUGUAAUUGAUUAUAUGAUAGGUCAAGUACCGUCAAGUUUUUCAAGUGAAACAACCAAUCUGGCAAAGUCCCCUGAAGAAAAUUAUUACUUAUCCUCAAUCGCUUAAAGUUUUUCCCGAUAAGCCCCGAAGAACUUCCCACCACUGAAAAUAUCUCCUCAUGAAGUUCGUUAACAUCCAAACAUAGUGACUCGAGGAAUGGUUGUUCCCUUAAGAAGGAGAACAACCCUCCUUCAAUGCUUUGCAACGAAUUGUAUGCAAGAUUGAGAUCGACAAGACUUCUCAAGUUAUUGAACCACCUUGGUACUGAAGAGUUGAAACCGUUUAACGAAAGAUGAAGGUGCCGGAGAGAAGUCAUGUUUUGAAAUGGAAUGCUUGGGAUGGGGCCCCCAAACAAAUUACCUGAAAGAUCGAGAUACUCAAGAGAAGUCAUGUUUUGAAAUGGAAUUCUUGGGAUGGGGCCCCUCAACAAAUUCGCUGAAAGAUCGAGGUACUCAAGAUGAAGAGCGGUAGAAUUGGCCAAGCAAUCAAAAGACAGGUGAAAGUUAUAAAGCCCACAAUUUGAUAGGCUCAAAUGGGACAAAGAUGGGAGUGCACUGAUCACCUGCAUGAGGUCUCCAGAUUUGUUAACACGUAUUCCACUCAUGUCAAGGUACUUUAAUGCCUGAAGAUGUGAAAGCCACUGAAAGUCAUCAACAAUAUCCACGUCAUAAGAACCGUGGAGAUUGAGGACUUCCAACUCGGUGAGAUUUCCCCAUUCAUCAGGAACAAUUGCAAAAUGGAAAGAGUGUGACAAGUCAAGGUACCUCAACUGCUUCAUGGAGCCGAUGAAUUUGAGCAUGUGCGCAUUUUCGAAAAAAAUCCCGCUCAAGUCUAGGUAGCUCAAGUAUCUCAAGUUGAGCAAAGAAGGGUUUAGUUCACCAGCUUUUGAAAAAACUCGUGGGAACGAGUAAUCAUAAUAUUCAUCAAACAGCGAUUCUUCUGCUGUUAGGAAUGGAUUUUCAUUUACUGAUGUGAUUUGGAGCUUGACGACGUGUCCAUUUGCUCGGUUGCACGUCACUCCGAUCCAUCGACAGCAAUCUUCACCAUUCCAAGAAGAAAGGACGUGAGAUGGGUCUGAGAGACUUUGUUUGAGUUGCAGCAGAGCAUUCCUUUCUUCUUCAAAGCAGAUGGAGGAUGAGUUUCCGUUUCUGCACAAGCAUACAUAUGCAUUGUCUAAAAUUAACAACAGACUUACUAAUACAAGCACUUUUACAGUAUCAUGUGGCGCCAUGAACGAUGAUGAAAUUGAAAAUGAAAGCUAUAAUGCACGCCGGCUCAGGCUUCAAGUCUUUGGCUUGGGUGCAUUUGUUUAAAUUUUGGGAAGUUGGUUUUGAGUGGAUUCUUAAGAAUGGACAAAGGGUAUUUAUAGUGAGCAAGGCAAGGAAUGAUAGUGAACGUAAUCAAUUAUUGUUCUAUAUCAUCAGUGUACCAUGCAUAUCAUGUGUACAUAAUUUCAUUUACCAUCUCUGUAAACGUAAACAUUAGUUUGUUGAUUUUAAAAUUAUCCAGCAACAUCCCUAUGACUUGACUCCAAAUCGACAAUCUCCCAAAAAUCAGACUUCUGUGCUUACAGUCGAAGAUGUUCCUGACCGGUCGCAUUUCAUUAGCAUUGAUUGGACCGGUGGAGUUAAGGCUUGCGUUGUAACAGGCAUAUGCCCCAAAUAAUUGAUGAGACAGUUAUAUAUUUCAAAAUCAUACUUUUAAUUUAUUAGCUAGAUGAAAACCCACCAAGCUGUAAUUGUAUCCCAUCAUCGAACAAUGUAGGAUAAGGUUAGAAUAUGCGCAAAUUGGAUUGGGAAGACAUCAGGCGAAAAACUUGAAGAUUAAGGAAUAAAAUAUGCGGGACCCACUAUUAAAUUAAAGUUAAAAGAGUGAUAUGAAGAUAUGAGGAACUUGGCCUUUUUUUUUUUGUGAAUUCGUGGGAGGAGGAGCUGCUGGCCGAAUCUCAUGUUUGUGGAAUUUAUGUAUGGCCAAGUUUUACAGUACAAAACCCGCAAGCACCAAGUCAAGUCUCGAGGUCUAUGUCAUUAUCUUAUACAACGACUUGGGCUGCUGGCCCGGCCGCAUGUUCGUGGAAUUUAUGUAUGGUGAAGCUUCGCAGUGCAAGACCCGCAAGCACCAAGUCAAGUCCUGAGGUCCAUGUCAUUAUCUUAUACAACGACUUGGGUCUAUAUUGAUCUGUUUGCAUUUCUUUUGCAAAAAUGCAUUUUCUAUUAGAAUUUUAAUGAAAUGGACGCUUCUCUUUGUGUAAAUCGAGCAACUUACAGGAUAAUAGUUCAUAUCAAUGUUAUGGAAGCUGUAGGAUCAUUCUCUGUAAAUCAACAGGAGGAAAAGGAUGACUUUCAAUUUCAUUCAACUGACAAUAUUCAUAUUACUGCCCUUCCACGUUGUAGAACUUCUACAGGAUGUAUAGAUGGAGAAAUUAUGGAAAUGAUGAAGUUCGGAAGAGGAAAAAGAUAAGUGUGGUACAAAUCAUGGGAGGUUUCAUUCCAGUGUCUCCAUAUAAGGCUUUGCUAGCGUAACAAUCUUUAAGCUAUUGUAAUAAUAAUAACUUGUUACGAGGCAUGAAUUCUAGAAAAAGUAGACCCCAUAACAAUUUAUAAUUAUUUGUUAUUUGAUUUUUUUUAUGCUUCAAAACAGAUUGUUAUUUUCACAAUAAAUUAAAGAUUGUCGCACAAUUAUUUAUCUUCUAUAUAUUAUUGAAUGGUUGAUCUUGUUGCAUUCUUUCUUAGAAACUUAGACCGAUGACAAGUGUACCUGUGAAGUCAUAAGCCAUUGAAUUACGGCCAACUAGGAAUUAUCUAUCUGCUUCUUUACCUCUAUAUAUCCUAUGCUGGCCUUCUUUCUUUCAUAUCUCUCACAUGUGCAUUCAAUGGUAGUUUCGGACAAAAGUUAAUAAUUUAAACAGGUCGACAAAGCAAACUGCACGAAUAAAUGUUGAUAAAUUGUUGUGGGAGUUGGUAAUUUUGAAGUGACCAAAUGAACAUUGAUAGGUGACUCAAGUUACUGCAACGUAAUUCCAUUCCAAGAAUUUUGGGAAUGACCUAUCGGCCUUUAUAAGAUAAAGGAUGAAAUCUCCUGCUAAAUAUAGUGAUUUAACGAGAAUAUCAAUUUAUUAAAACCUUUCAUCAAAUAAAUAUGCUAACAAAAACAAGGCCUUGUGAAUAAAUCAAAAUGAGUGUCAUAUAUUUCAUUUUAAAAGCUUUUACUCAAGUAUUGUAAAACAGAGUCCCAUGCCACCUUUCGCUCUCUCUAUGAUUCGAUUAAGUUUCCUUAUAUUCAGAACCUGAAAUGCUAAAAAGUGGGGUGAGCAAAUCUACAGUUCGAUAAGUGAUAAUCACCCUUCUAUAUGAUCAAGCAAAAAAAGAAUGCAGCUUUAGAAACUAAGGGCGUGCAUGGUUGCACUUUUAUUUUUUGUUCAUGAACAGAUUUUCUGUUUUUUUGUUCCCGGAAACAAAAAAAGAACAGAAACGCGUUUGUUUGCGUUUUUGUUCCAAAUCUGUUUUUUUGUUCCCGGGAACAAAAUUGGAACAAAAACAAGAAAUUAAAAAAAAAAACUUGUUUCUUGUUUCUGGAACAAUUUUUAAGAGCACAUUUUCUCUCUCAUUUCUUUUCUUCUCUUUUUUUUCUUCUUCUUUUCUUCUCCUUUUUUCUUUGGCCGAUCGCCGGCCUCGACCAUGGCUGGCGACCGGUCGUCGAGGGCCGGCAAACUCGCCAGAGCGACACCGGCCCCUAGCGAGGCUCGGCCUCGCCUUAGCUGGGCGACCUCAAGCUCGCCCAGAUUCGGCAAGGCAAAGCUCGCCCAGCCACCGGCGAGGCUCGGCGUCAUCGGACCACCGCCAGGUCGGCGUCACCUAACGGUGGCCCGGCGAGGCCGACCUCGCCUGCGCCGGCGACGCUCAAGCUCGCCCAACCAUCAGUGAAGCUCGGCCUCACUAAGCCACCGCCAGGUGACCAGUGGCUGGGCGAGCUCGGCCUCGCCAAAUUUGGGCGAGCUCGAGGUCGCCCAGCCAAGGCCAGGCCGAGGGCCAGCAAGCCUCGCCGUGGCUGGGUGAGGCCGUCGGCCCUCGUCGGCCGGUCGCUGGCCAUGGCUGAGGCCGGUGACCGGCCAAAAGAAGAAAAAAAAGGAAAAUUAAAAUUAAAAAAUUAAAAGAACACAAAUUUACCAAACAUAUUUCUAUUCUUUUUUUAUUCCCGAAACAAAUUUACCAAACACGUUUUUCUGGUAAAAAAUUGUUCCCCAAAACAAUAAUAGUUUUUUCUAUUUCUGUUCCCUGAAACACUUUUUGAACAGAAACACAAACAAACGCGCCCUAAGUGUGCAUCCAUAUAUAUCGAGACAAUUGAAUUCAUUGCAUUCCCCAUGUUUUAAGCAUAAUGCUUACAUUCCAACACUCAUAAGGGAUGCACCCUAUCACAAACCAUGCAACAUAAUAAAUACAACAUAUUUCAUACUCAUUCAAUUGCCCAUAUCAAGAAAACUCUACCGUCAUGCUUCAUUAGGCUCAAAAACCAUAUUGGCUAUAAUUAUGCCUCGAAAAUCAAAUCUGUUGUCAUUAAACCCCGGAACAGAAUUGGUCCAUACAUGUAUGCCAUAUCAUCUCUCAAUAAGUUAGUUCACAAUAAGUAUCAAAUCCAUACCUCAAUACAACAUGCUGGCGUUAACAAAGUUACUAGGAUAGUUACUUAAAAAAAAUGGCUUUUACACAUUUUUCAGUAAUAUGAAGUGAAUUUUGGUAUUCUUAGAGAACACAAACAGAAUUUACAAAGGGGUGGAUGGGUGUGCUCAAAUUUCAUAACAUGUCAUGGGCACCAAUGAUUUACGUGCCGUGUGAGAAACGGAUGCGCGCACCCAACGUAUCCAACAAUUCCAGGGAAUCUAAUCAUCGUUUUGGUUUUCAAUUGCGAUUGGACGUUUUCAUGUUUCCUUCAAUUGAAGGUCGUGAAAUUGAAAGUCCACGAAUAACUCCAACCCGAGUCGACCUUUAUCACUUUUCCAUGAAUCUCUAACUUCAUCCUUAAGCUAGUCCAGUAUUAGUUUUCUUUUUUUCGUUUUUCAAUUUUUGUGAAGCAGCAGUCCCAGUAGAGUACCUAUGUCUCACUUCCAUAGGUUAGAGUUGAAACAGAGAGGAGAGGGGUUCGCCUUUGCCAUCGCUAUAACCCGAUAAAAUCUUCCCUCGGUCAUUUCAAUGUGGAAAUCCCGCAAGCACCACGUCUUGAGGUCCAUAUCCUCAUUCUUCCAGAUCCCUUUUGUCCAGAUUUUUAUGCGUCCAUAUUUAUCUUGUUUGCAUUCAUUUAUUUUAUAAUGAGCAAAUAUCGUGUAUCUUUUAUAAUGCCAUAUUGUUCUACAAAUGUUCCCGUUGAGCAUGUAAUGUCCCAAAACUACGUCCAUCAAAAUUGACAAAAUGGAUUUAAUUUAUGUGAAUACAAAAUAUUUAUGAUUAAAUUGAUCAAAUUAAAAUAUUUAUGCAUGAAUUAGGGAAAAGUACCAAAAAAAUCUUAACCCUAUUGCAUUUGUACCAAUUCAAUUCUAAACAUUUCAAUUAAACCAAUUUAGCUCUAAACCUUUUGAAAUUAGUACUAAUUUAAUUCAUCCAGCUAAUUUUAGUUAAAAAUUGCUGACGUGGACGCAAAACGUCAUAUGUGAUAUGACCGAUGCUAACAUUGAUAUUUUUUAAAAAUAUUUUAAAUACUUUUUUAAUUUUAUUAUUAUUUUUAAUUAAUCUUUUUUUUUAAAUCUCUUUUCCUUCUUUUACUUCUUUUCUCUUUUUCUUUCCUUUUUUUUUCUUUCUUUUAUUUAUUUUUUAUUAUUAGUACACUUCAACUAUCGCGAACCAGUAGAGGUCGUCAGCCACUGAGGGUGAGGGCUACGAUGCCUUGCCCAACCCUUGCCGGCUCUUGCCAAAUCUAGCAAGCAAGCUUAUCUUAGCCUCUUAGCUUAGGUCUUCACUCUGGUGCGUCUUUCCCUUAAUUUUAGCAACCACGGUUUUUUUUUUUUAUGCCAGAGGGGUUUUUUUUUAAGGGGGGGAGGAGGGGGUUUGCAUUGUAGGAUUAAACGUUCAAGAUAUAGAAGGAGGUGUAUAGGGUUCAACAGUAUGGUCAAAUUUAGUUCUCUCAUCUCCACACAAUGUGAACUCUCCUCUCCUUUCUCGUCAGUUUGGCAAGGGGCGGUCUUGCCACCAUCGCCAGGCGCCUUGCUAGCCUUUGGCAAGGGCUAGGCAAGGAUCCCCUCACCAGCCUUGCCUAUGGUGAGCAAGAGCAUCUUAACCCUCACCCUCACUGGCGACUAGCAACCUCCAUUGACCGACGAUUGGUGGAGGGUAAUAAGGAAAAAAGAAAAAAGAGAAACAAAAGAAAAAAAAGGGAAAAAAAGGAAGAAGAAGAAAAGAAGCAAAAGAGAAGAAAAAAGAAAAUAAGAAUUAAUAAAAAAAUUCUAAAAGUAUUUAAAAAUUAAAAAAGUGCCAACAUAAGUGUCAAUCAUGUCAUGUAGGACGAUUGGUGAUUAUGUGAGCAAUUUUCGACCUAAAUUGGCCAGAUGAAUUAAAUUUAUAUGAAUAUGAAAAGUUUAGGACUAAAUUGGUCUAAUUGAAAUAUUUAUGACUAAAUUAGUACGAAUAUAAUAGAUUUAUGACUUUUUUGGUACUUUUUCUGCCUAAAUUGGCACCAACGCAAUAGAUACAAUUUGGGAUAAGAAUUGGGGCUCGAUAACAUGACCAUACACUCCAUCACAACUGACUUUUUCCAUUUGCAACAAUCUUCACUUUUCCAAGAAGAAAGUAAGCGAGAUGAGUCUGAGAGCCUUUAUUUAAGCUAUAGUGAGAGAGAUGGGUCUAAGAGGCUUUAUUUAAUGUACAACGGAGCCUCUCUUUCUUGCUUUAUGCAAAUGGAUGUUGAAUUUUCACAAAAGCAUACGCACAAAUUAUUUAAAAUAAGUAAUAGGAUUACUAGUCAAGCACUUCAAAAUAGUAUCUCCCCAUGAGCAACAAAGGAGAGAAUAGAUAUAAGCUUUUGAGACUCUGUUUGAGGGUUCUCUUAGGAAACCCAGAUCACUUAAAGAGAAUGGCAGCAAAGAUUUACUUAUGGGUAUGCAUGUUUACCAUAUCAAAGGAUGUAUAUUCAACACACGUGAGAUCCACAUGUCAUAAUCAUAAUCAUGAAGAAAAGACACGUCCACUCUUGCAAUUGGAGUGGGUAAAACGAUGAUUGGACCGCAUCUAGAAGAGAAAACGAAUCAUCUACAAAUAGGGCUAGUCAAGUCACCAUUGAGGAGGUCCGAGGAGAAAUUCUCUAGAUUUUGUAGUGUUUGACACGGACCAUGUCAAGUCUUUUGGGUCUAGGUAACAAUCCUAGAGGGAUUUUUUCGCCAAAAUGUGUCUAUAAAUAUACCAUCUAUUUCAACUCGAGUGAAUGUUUACUACUUUUCGAUCAAUCUCUUUCUUCAUCCUUCGAGAUUAUUUUAUUUUCCCUUUGGUGAGCAGCGGUCCCAGCAGGGUAGUCAUGCCUCACUUUCAUAGCUAGUCGAACUUGAAACAGGGGUGUUCGCCUUUGCCCAAUGCUAUAAACCGAUGACAUCAACUUCCCUUGGUCACAUCACUGUGGAAAACCCGUAAGACCGGCAAGCACCAAGUCUAAGUCUUGGGGUCCUUGUCCUCAUCCUACCUGGUCCCUUUUUCUAAGUCUUGUGGUGUUUGUCCUCAUCCUACCUGGUCCCUUUUUCGUCUCCCAUGCCAAACUCAUCGCUCAUGUCCUCAUUCUACAAGACUAACAAAAGUAUAAGUCCUCACUUUCAUUCAUACUUGAAAUAGCACAAAAUCCCAAUUGUCCUGAAAAUAUCCAAAGUUUUAGGCCAAACAACACCAAAGCAAGAAACCAUAUAUAUUAAUAGGAUGUGUGCCUAAUUCUGCUACUACCCAGGAUAUUCAUAAUUUUUUUUUUUUGUAUAAACUCAGAUUUAUUCUGCAGUGUACAUCUAAGGGAUUUAUAUAGAUGAAGAAAUUAUAAAAAUUUGGAAGAGGAAAAAAUAAAAAUAACCAAUCACUUACCACUCUUUAAUUUUCUCUUCAUCAAUGGAUGAUGCCAGUCAAAGAAUUAAGGGCUAGAUAAUAUUAUCAUAUGCGUUAGAACAGUCACAAAUUCAGCAAAAUUUAAUAUCGCCAUAUAUAGAAGAGACUAGCGAACUUUCUGUUUGAUUAUUUAAGUUAUAAACCAUCUCUUUACUGUCGAUAAAAGUAAAUGGAGAGAAUCGGAUGAACGAAGAAAUAUAACUCAAUUACUUCCUCUAAAACAUAAAAAGCAAGUUAUAAAAAAAUUGUUCGUGGUUGCUGAAGAAGCUUAAAAUUGUGCCAAGUUCACACAUGAAGAGUUUCUAGAAAUUCAUAAGGACUAAAAUAUGGGGAGAGACUUUGUUAUGCAUAUGCAUUCCAUUAUUUAAAAUGUAACUAGAGAUAUAACAAAGGAAAAUACAUACUGCUUUUCAUUGGAACGCACAUCACAUUACUUAGGUGAAUACAUGUGGACCAUCUCAAAGAACGUAUGUUCCGCAGAUGUGAAGUCCACAUGUCAUAAAUACAAUCAGGAAGGAAAGACACCUCCAUUAUUGUGAUUGGACCCCAUCCAGAAGAGAAAAUCGAUCCUCCAAAAAUUAGCGCAGGUAAACUUGGCACCAAGUGCGGCACCCUUGAGGAGAUCGCGGAGGACUCCGUCCAGUUUUUGCAGUGCUGGACACGGACCAAGUCAAGUCUUCUGGAUCAAUGUCGUUAAUCAUACAAGUCAAUCUCUCCGUCUAUGUCAUUAACCAAGUCAAGUCUUUUGAGUGUCGGUUAUCAUAAUAAAGGAAAACACGUUCUUCUUUUAAUAGGAGAUCGUGAAGUGACAAUCCGCGCAUAAGUCCAAGUCAAAUUGGACACUUUCUCUCCAUACUUAAAUCAAGCAACUUCCAGGAUAAUACAUAUCGAUGUUAUGGAUCAAGAAGCCACAGGCAAUACAGUUUACAGAGUCAAUUGUACAGUGCCUUUUUUUUGUGAAAAAAAAAAAGAAAAGAAAAGAAAACGCAACGCUGUGGCUGCUGUAGGAUUAUUUUCUGCAAAUGAACAGGAGGAAAAGGCUGAGUUUUGACCCAAGUCAAUUUUAUUCAACUGAUAAUUUUUAUAUUACUAGCCUCCCCCACAGUAGCACAUCCACGGGGAUGCAUAGACAGAGAAAUUAUUAACUAGGUUCGAUAUAUUUCACUGAGCGCAGAGAAGGAUGAAGUUCGCAAGGAAAACAAUCCGCGCAUAAGUCCGUCAAAUUGGACACUGUCUCUCCAUACUUAAAUCAAGCAACUUCCAGGAUAAUACAUAUCGGUGCUAUGGAUCAAGAAGCCACAGACAAUACAGUUUACCGAGUCAAUUGUACAGUGCCUUCUUUUUCUGCAAAAAAAGAAAAGAAAAAGAAAGAAGGCAACUCUGUGGCUGCUGUAGGAUCAUUUUCUGCAAAUGAACAUGAGGAAAAGGCUGAGUUUUGACCUAAGUCAAUUUUAUUCAACUGAUAAUUUUCAUAUUACUAGCCUUCCCAACAGUAGCACGUCUAUGGGGAUGUAUAGACGGAGAAAUUAUUAACUAGGUUCGAUAUAUUUCACCGAGCGCAGAGAAGGAUUUAGGCCCCAAUUAAUUAUGAAAGAUGUUCUAAAUAAAAAGAGAUUUGGAAAUGAUGAAGUUCGCAAGGGAAAAACAAAAGAAGAAGAAGAAGAAGCGUGGUACAAAAUCGUGCGACAUUCCAUUCCGGUGAGUACCUCUAUAUUAUUGAAUUGUCAAUCUUGUUGAAUUCAUUUGCAGAAAUUUACAUUGAUGAUGAGUGUACAUAUGCAGUCAUUAGCCAUUUUCGGUUGAAGAAGGAUUAAUUUGAUCACUUAGUCUAAUCUACUUGAGUUAAUAUAGACUAACGAACAUACUAUCGGAAGGAAAGCGAAUAUUAAAAGCAAGAGAUCACCCAAGCACAAGAAGUUUCAUACACCCAAAAUGAAGAACCAAAAGUUAGGAAGAGGGUAUGAGAUUGCUCAUUACUUAAGAGGUUCUUGAAUUGUUUCUUUAACUUGACUACGUUUACAGUUAUAGCCACACAUGCCUUGUCUAUUGCUUGAUCCACGAAGCUGAAGUAUGCCCUAUACAACAUGCUUUGUUGGCAUCAACAUAGUUACUAGGAUUGUUAUUUGUACUUAAUCACUUUCACUGUUAUAGUUACUGCAUGCAGUGAGUUUUGGUGGCAUCAACAUAGUUACUAGGAUUGUUAUUUGUACUUAUGGGUGUGUUUCAAUCUCAUAGAGUAUCCUAACCAUCUUUGAUCUAUGUGCCGUAUGAGAGAUGGGUGCAUGCAUUUAAGGUAUCUAAUAAUUCCAGAUAAAGUUAAUUAUUGCUUUCGUUUUCAAUUGCAAUUCGGAGUUUCCAUGUUUCUUCCAAUCAAAUGUCGUGAAAUUGAAAGUCUCCGAAUGACUCCAAGUCGAGUCAACGUUUUAUCACUUCUCGGUUAAUCUCCUACUUCAUCCUUAGAGCUACUCCAGUAUCCUCUUUUUCUUUUUUUCUUUUCUUUUUUUGGUGAGGCAGCAAUACCAGUAAAGAAGUCAUGCGUCACUUUUAUAGCUGUAGUCGAAACAGAGAGGUGUUCUCUGUAAGUCGAUUACAUCAACUUCCGUUGGUCAAAUCACUGUGGAAAACACGCAAGACCUUCAAGCAACAACCCUAAGUCUUGACGGCCAUAUCGUCAUUCUGCCGGUGGCCAGGCCCAACGACGGGGGUAGAGAAAGAAGGAAAGGGUUGGCUAUUCCAUAUAGGACGUUCGGCACUAACUAGAUCAUCACAUUAGUAGUUCCCGAUCAAAAUUGGUUAAAAUGACUAAAUUGGCAAAUCAUCAAGAGAUUUAGGAUUAAAUUAGUAAAUUGUCAAAAGGUUUAGGACUAAAUUUGCACAAAUUAGGAUUAUGAUUUAAUUGACAAGUUGUCAAAAUAUUUAGAACUAAAUUGGCAUAAUUAAAAUGUUUAGGAUUAAAUUGGCUACCGUAUAAUACAUUUACGAAUUUGUGGACAAUUUAUGCUAUGUUGGAGUGGUUUGGAUGGAGAAGAACACCAUAAUAAACCAACAAUUUUGGUGUGGGUUGCUUUUGUCAUUAGCAUUUAUUGUAUACUUUGAAUAAGGAGAAGAUGAAGAUUUGAUUCAUCGAGACCUUCUGCAUCCAGCUAACCACACCCGCUUAUGUUCUCGUCAUUGUGCAAUUUUUUGGUGGCUGAGACUUCAACUCGAAAGAAAAUUAAAAGAGAAAAUUUCAAAUUAAAGCUCGAAGUGCUCUUAUUUUUUUCAAAUAAGAAUUUGAAGUGGAAGUUAUUUCAAAUAAGAACCUGAAAUGACCAUAUCGUCUCACAUAAAGACUUUUGGCUAGCCAAUAACUAUUGAAAGGAUAUCUUGGUUGAAAAAAUUCAAAAUAUAUUCUUUUUCUUUUUUUUUUCUUUUUCCCUCUUCCCUCCCCCAACCAUUACGGUGUCUCAUCAAUGGCCAGGAGAGGUCGCCAACCUCCUUACGCCCUCGCUUGAGUCUAGCAACCUUCGCCAUGGCCGGCAGAGAGAAGAGAGAAAAAGGAAAAGGAAAAGGAAAAAAUGAAAAUAACAGAAAAAGGGAAAAAAUUUCAAAGAAAUAAAAGAUGAAAACGCCCUUUGAUCGGUGAGAGUAGGCCAUUCUUUAAGACUGAUAUGGCAAUUUCAAAUCAUUAUUUGAGAAAAUGAUGAUACUUUAGACUCUUAUUCAAAAUAAUGUUCAUUUUAUACCUUUUUUUUAAACAAAAUAAGAGCAUUUUAGGCAUUUGCUUGGAAUUUUUCUAGACUAAAAUGAAUCCACAAAUCAAAGACAUCCUUGGUCAAUCUACACAGUUAAGCCUUUCUUUACGGAUUUGACUUGAUGAAAUUUUUAUGGCUUCCAUUCUUCGUGUAACUUUGGUAAUUAAUUGAGGAUUGCAAGUAUAUUGUGUCUACACAAUAAAAUAUUUCCAAAACAAAGACCUAUUUGUUCGGGCUUGUUUAGAACAUCUUGUAACUAUUGGGUUAUCUCCUAUGAUCCCAAUGUAAAGCACUAAGAUCAUCAAUAGUCAAUAGCUUAAGAAAUUUCCUUUCUCGUUUGGCAUUGUAUUAUUCAGGGGCGUAAAGACCCACUUAAGCAACAUAUGUAAUGCUUGAGUAUGACAAAUCAUUUUCCCACUUAUGAUUUUUCUAAAGAGACUUAAAGAUUUAAUCUUGAAUAAUAACAUUAAGAAUCGUACACGAAAAGAAAAUUAAAGAAUCCCCUAAAAUAUGUUCUAAAAUUUUUAUUGAUGAAAAGAACGGCUCCAAAAAAGCUAAUGGAUGCGUUGUCGGCCAUGCCCAAUUCCCAUUGGAAUGGCAGGGCAUGAUUGAGGCAAAAAAUUGGAAAAAGUGUUAGAAAAAUCCUAAAAUUAUUGCAUUUGUGUUAAUUUAGUUCGAAAACUUUAACGGUGUCAAAUUAAUCCUAAACUUUUUCAAGUAGUGUCAAUUUAGUUCUAAAACUUUUGAUUUGGUGCUAAUUCAGUCUUUCCGAGAAAUUUUAACUAGAUUUUGCUGACAUGGAUGUCGGCCAGCAUACAUGACACCACUAGCGCUAACAUGGACAAUUUUUAGUAUUAUUUUAAUAUUUUUUUCUUCUUUUUUUUCUUUUUCCCUCCCUCCUUCCUUUCUUCCUCAAGGUGAUGGCUGGCUAGUUGGAGAUAGUUGACCACCAACCACGAACUAGGUGAGUUGGCCUUGCCUACCCAGGGCAAGUUGGACCCUAGCAUGGGUUGGCCUUGCCCAGGCCAAAUCUGGUGAGGCUGCCCUUGCCAAGGCCACCCUCCCUAAAGCUUGGCCUCACCCAACCAUCACCUGCCGACCAGUCACAAUCUAGAGGAAGAAGAAAGGAAGGAGAGAAAAAAUUCAUAAAAAAAUAGUAAAAUAGAAAAACAAAAAAUCGAAAAAUUAUUAAAAUUUAUCUAUGUCAAUGCUAGUAGUGCCAUAUAAGUUGACCAAUGUCCACAUAAGCAAAAUCUAGCGAAAAUUUGUCGAAAUGACUGAAUUGGCACUAAAUCAAAAAAUUUAGGACUAAAUUGGUAGUAUAUAAAAGUUUUAUGAGUAAAUUGGCAUCAUUAAAAGGUUUAUGAUUGAAUUGUCAUCAAGUCAAAAGAUUUAGAACUAAAAUGACACUAUUAAAAGAUUUAGAACUAAAUUAAUAUCAAUACAAUAGAUCUAAAACUUUUUUGACACUUUUCUCACAAAAUAUUAGCGAAUUUGUUUUUUUUUUUUUUUUGUAAAGGGUAAUAAUAUAUUGAGCUUUAACCACCACAUAUACAAGAUCCGGCACCACAAAACUUACACUCAACAAGACACAAACGUCUUCUUGAGUGAAAGGGCGCCAGACACAAAACACCGCAAAGUGGUCAAGACAAGCAAGGGCCGAAACAGGAGGCCUAAGAAAACAGCCACGCAGGGCCAAGACAACAAACUAAAAAGACAGACUAACCAAAAGGCCACGCAGGACCAAGAAUAAACAGCCUGCAAAGAUAGAGUACGGCAACCUAGGCGGUCGGCAUAGGAGAGCUGAAGAUAGACGGAUAUUAGCGAAUUUGUUGGAGCAACUAAAGUAUUUAAAAAAAAAAAAAAAAAAAGGAGGGGGAGGGCAGGAGAGUAGAACGCAAGAGCAUGGGGAAGAGUGUGGGCUACGGCAAAGAUUUAUGACAGGGAAAAGCUUGGGCAGUUGAGCACAUUUCAUGACGGGGUAUUGACGAAUGUAGGUUCAUCAGUUUCCGGGUCAAUCCGAUUCCCAACUUUGAAAAUGGAGAGCCGGUCACUUUUAUUUUCAUGUUUUCAUCUGAAUAUCUAAUUUUCCAAAGCAUGACGAGAAAAAAUUCAAAGUUAGAGACAAAUUCUAUACUUCUAUCCAAAUAUUUUAUUGUACAAUUAUAAGUUUUUAUUUUCUCACCAACAAAAAACUAUACCCACUAAUUUUAUUUUUUAAAGAAAUCAAAAUAAAAUAAAAGUAUAUGUAGUCGAUAUGGUCUGGUCCGAUUCCCUUUGGAAUCGGAAAUCGGACCACCCGAACAUAGAUUCCAUUUUUAAGAACCGGGAACCGAACUGACAGUCUUAGAAACGGAACCCAAUCGGCCGAUUCGGUUCGAUCCAAGCGAUUUCUGAUUUAGGCGGUCCAUUUUGCACAUUACCACAGUGAAUGCAUCCUAGUUUCUGAUAAUGGCGUGGCAGUCAUAAGAUGUGGCCAAGUAAAAGAUGGGCUCAAAUGGGAUGGUGAAUGGGAUGGGUUUUGAGGGGGGUUCUUAAAAGGCAUUUAGAGAGAGAAGGGAGGCAAGGAAUGAUAGUGAGAAUGGAGGGUCGAAAGUCUCCCAACAAAUCGGAAAGUUGAUAUCAUCUCUGUAAAUGUUCCUGACAUUGAUCAGGCAGCGAGACAUCCAAAUCAGUGAAUGGGCCGCGUACAUUUGGAGAUGAGACUUACGUUAGAGGCUUACAAAGCUAAGCUUCCUCAGAACUCAAUGC
rnacentral:lncRNA from 1 species